UACGUAGGGUGCAAGCGUUGUCCGGAAUUAUUGGGCGUAAAGAGCUCGUAGGCGGUUUGUCGCGUCUGCUGUGAAAACGCGAGGCUCAACCUCGCGCCUGCAGUGGGUACGGGCAGACUAGAGUGCGGUAGGGGAGAUUGGAAUUCCUGGUGUAGCGGUGGAAUGCGCAGAUAUCAGGAGAAACACCGAUGGCGAAGGCAGAUCUCUGGGCCGUAACUGACGCUGAGGAGCGAAAGCGUGGGGAGCGAACAGG
rnacentral:rRNA from 1 species